rnacentral:rRNA from 1 species
GACGAACGCUGGCGGCGUGCCUAAUACAUGCAAGUAGAACGCACAGUUUAUACCGUAGCUUGCUACACCAUAGACUGUGAGUUGCGAACGGGUGAGUAACGCGUAGGUAACCUGCCUGGUAGCGGGGGAUAACUAUUGGAAACGAUAGCUAAUACCGCAUAAUAUUGAUUAUUGCAUGAUAAUUGAUUGAAAGAUGCUAUUGCAUCACUACCAGAUGGACCUGCGUUGUAUUAGCUAGUAGGUGAGGUAACGGCUCACCUAGGCGACGAUACAUAGCCGACCUGAGAGGGUGAUCGGCCACACUGGGACUGGGACACGGCUCAGAAUCCUACGGGAGGCAGCAGUAGGGAAUCUUCGGCAAUGGACGAAAGUCUGACCGAGCAACGCCGCGGGAGUGAAGAAGGUUUUCGGAUCGUAAAGCUCUGUUGUAAGAGAAGAACGGGUGUGAGAGUGGAAAGUUCACACUGUGACGGUAUCUUACCAGAAAGGGACGGCUAACUACGUG